rnacentral:rRNA from 1 species
AUUGAACGCUGGCGGCAGGCCUAACACAUGCAAGUCGAGCGGCAGCGGAAAGUAGCUUGCUACUUUGCCGGCGAGCGGCGGACGGGUGAGUAAUGUCUGGGAAACUGCCUGAUGGAGGGGGAUAACUACUGGAAACGGUGGCUAAUACCGCAUAACGUCGCAAGACCAAAGUGGGGGACCUUCGGGCCUCACGCCAUCGGAUGUGCCCAGAUGGGAUUAGCUAGUAGGUGGGGUAAUGGCUCACCUAGGCGACGAUCCCUAGCUGGUCUGAGAGGAUGACCAGCCACACUGGAACUGAGACACGGUCCAGACUCCUACGGGAGGCAGCAGUGGGGAAUAUUGCACAAUGGGCGCAAGCCUGAUGCAGCCAUGCCGCGUGUGUGAAGAAGGCCUUCGGGUUGUAAAGCACUUUCAGCGAGGAGGAAGGCAUCACACUUAAUACGUGUGGUGAUUGACGUUACUCGCAGAAGAAGCACCGGCUAACUCCGUGCCAGCAGCCGCGGUAAUACGGAGGGUGCAAGCGUUAAUCGGAAUUACUGNNCGUAAAGCGCACGCAGGCGGUUUGUUAAGUCANAUGUGAAAUCCCCGCGCUUAACGUGGGAACUGCAUUUGAAACUGGCAAGCUAGAGUCUUGUAGAGGGGGGCAGAAUUCCNGGUGUAGCGGUGAAAUGCGUA